ACAACAACAACAACAACAACAAUAAUAAUAAUAAUAAUAAUAAUAACGAGCGGAAUAAUAGUCCGUAUGAAAAGAAAACGAUUCGUCGAUGCUGUCGCCCAGUGACGUUGUCGAGGACGCCGAUCCGUUGGCUCGAACGGUGCACGGAAGGAGGCCGACGAAUUGCAUCGAGCUACGAGUUUCUACAAUGAUGAACGAAGGAGAGGAUCCA